rnacentral:rRNA from 1 species
UACGUAGGCAGCAAGCGUUGUUCGGAGUUACUGGGCGUAAAGGGUGCGUAGGCUGUGCAGAAAGUUGGGUGUGAAAUCCCCCGGCUCAACCGGGGAAUAGCGCUCAAAACUACUGUGCUAGAGGGAGACAGAGGUAAGCGGAACUCAGGGUGGAGCGGUGAAAUGCGUUGAUAUCCUGAGGAACACCGGUGGCGAAAGCGGCUUACUGGGUCUCUUCUGACGCUGAGGCACGAAAGCUAGGGUAGCGAACGGG